rnacentral:lncRNA from 1 species
AUUUACACUUGUUUUCCCGACAAAGAUUGGGAGAGAGAUACCUGCAACUCAGAUGUCUUCUAAUGGGAAGGCACAACAAAUAGUCUCUAGUCCCUUAAUGGAACCAAAAGUAUCUCUCGGCUGGCACGCAAGUGUCUCACGACUGGAACACAAGCGUCUCUCGGCUGGAACACAAGCGUCUCAUGACUGCCACCAAGCGUCACUCGGCCGGAACACAAGCAUCUCUCGGCUGGAACACAAGCGUCUCCCGGCUGGAACACAAGCGUCUCACGACUGCCACCAAGCGUCAUUCGGCCGGAACACAAGCCAGGACCUUUGUCCAGCUUUGCUCUUAUAUAGCUCUGUCCUCUCCUUCACCUUUUCUCCCAGAACGGCUGUUAUUGUCUCUUACACAAAUUGAUCUAAGAUCGAG